rnacentral:lncRNA from 1 species
AUGUCAUGCGAUAUUUAUGACAGCUGAGCAAGAAUAUUUCAUCGAACUAAAAUUUGAAAUGAUGACAAAAUAGCAUAAAAAACAGUUUGUUAGAAUGGUGAAAUGUAUAUUUAUUUUGCAUUAUUUCUGUCUUGAAAGAUAUUUUUUUUUUUCUUUUUUUCCCGACCGACCGACCCGACUUUUUCAUGGGGAAAAUCCGUAAACCG